rnacentral:rRNA from 1 species
AGGUGCGAUCAUACCAGCGUUAAUGCACCAGAUCCCAUCAGAACUCCGUAGUUAAGCACGCUUGGGAUAG